UGGGGAAUAUUGGACAAUGGGGGCAACCCUGAUCCAGCAAUGCCGCGUGUGUGAAGAAGGUCUUCGGAUUGUAAAGCACUUUCGACGGGGACGAUGAUGACGGUACCCGUAGAAGAAGCCCCGGCUAACUUCGUGCCAGCAGCCGCGGUAAUACGAAGGGGGCUAGCGUUGCUCGGAAUGACUGGGCGUAAAGGGCGUGUAGGCGGUUUACACAGUCAGAUGUGAAAUCCCCGGGCUUAACCUGGGAGCUGCAUUUGAUACGUGUAGACUAGAGUGUGAGAGAGGGUUGUGGAAUUCCCAGUGUAGAGGUGAAAUUCGUAGAUAUUGGGAAGAACACCGGUGGCGAAGGCGGCAACCUGGCUCAUGACUGACGCUGAGGCGCGAAAGCGUGGGGAGCAAACAGGAUUAGACACCCUGGUAGUCCACGCUGUAAACGAUGUGUGCUAGAUGUUGGGUAACUUUGUUAUUCAGUGUCGCAGUUAACGCGUUAAGCACACCGCCUGGGGAGUACGGCCGCAAGGUUGAAAC
rnacentral:rRNA from 1 species